rnacentral:rRNA from 1 species
UGCCAAGCAGCCGCGGUAAUUCCAGCUCCAAUAGCGUAUAUUAAAGUUGUUGCAGUUAAAAAGCUCGUAGUUGGAUCUCGGGUCCGGGCUCGCGGUCCACCUCGCGGUGGUUACUGCCCGUCCCGACCUACCUACCGGUUUUCCCUUGGUGCUCUUAACUGAGUGUCUCGGGUGGCCGGAACGUUUACUUUGAAAAAAUUAGAGUGUUCAAAGCAGGCGCUUCGCCUGAAUAAUGUUGCAUGGAAUAAUGGAAUAGGACCUCGGUUCUAUUUUGUUGGUUUUCGGAACUCGAGGUAAUGAUUAAGAGGGACAGACGGGGGCAUUCGUAUGAUGGUGUUAGAGGUGAAAUUCUUGGAUCGCCGUCAGACGAACUACUGCGAAAGCAUUUGCCAAGAAUGUUUUCAUUAAUCAAGAACGAAAGUCAGAGGUUCGAAGACGAUCAGAUACCGUCCUAGUUCUGACCAUAAACGAUGCCGACUAGCGAUCCGCCGGAGUUGUUUCAAUGACCCGGCGGGCAGCUUCCGGGAAACCAAAGUCUUUGGGUUCCGGGGGAAGUAUGGUUGCAAAGCUGAAACUUAAAGGAAUUGACGGAAGGGCACCACCAGGAGUGGAGCCUGCGGCUUAAUUUGACUCAACACGGGAAAGCUUACCCGGCCCGGACACCGUAAGGAUUGACAGAUUGAGAGCUCUUUCUUGAUUCGGUGGGUGGUGGUGCAUGGCCGUUCUUAGUUGGUGGAGCGAUUUGUCUGGUUAAUUCCGAUAACGAACGAGACUCUAGCCUAUUAAAUAGUUCGCCGAUUUCGAUCUGUCGGCGUUAACUUCUUAGAGGGACAAGUGGCUUUUAGCCACGCGAGAUUGAGCAAUAACAGGUCUGUGAUGCCCAAGGG